GACGUAGGGCGCGAGCGUUGUCCGGAUUUAUUGGGCGUAAGAGCUCGUAGGCGGCUCGUUGCGUCAACCGUGAAACCCGGGCCUAACUUCGGGCUUGCGGUUGAUACGGGCGGGCUGGAGUUCGGUAGGGGAGACUGGAAUUCCUGGUGUAGCGGUGAAAUGCGCAGAGUAUCAGGAGGAACACCGGUGGCGAAGGCGGGUCUCGUGGCCGAUACUGACGCUGAGAGCGAAAGCGUGGGGAGCAAACAGG
rnacentral:rRNA from 1 species